rnacentral:rRNA from 1 species
CCUACGGGAGGCAGCAGUGGGGAAUAUUGCACAAUGGGCGAAACCCUGAUGCAGCAACGCCGCGUGAGCGAAGAAGGCUUUCGGUAUGUAAACCUCUGUCAUCAAGGAAGAUAAUGACGGUACCUGACUAAGAAGCCCCGGCUAACUACGUGCCAGCAGCCGCGGUAAUACGUAGGGGGCAAGCGUUAUCCGGAUUUACUGGGUGUAAAGGGAGCGUAGGCUGCGUUGUAAGUCAGAAGUAAAAGGCCGGGGCUCAACCCGUAGACUGCUUUUGAAACUGGGUUGCUGGAUUGCAGGAGAGGAGAGUGGAAUUCCUAGUGUAGCGGUGAAAUGCGUAGAUAUUAGGAGGAACACCAGUGGCGAAGGCGGCUUACUGGACUGUAACUGACGCUGAGGCGCGAAAGCGUGGGGAGCAAACAGGAUUAGAUACCCUGGUAGUC